rnacentral:rRNA from 1 species
AGCGAACGCUGGCGGCAGGCCUAACACAUGCAAGUCGAACGGACCCUUCGGGGUUAGUGGCGGACGGGUGAGUAACACGUGGGAACGUGCCUUUAGGUUCGGAAUAGCUCCUGGAAACGGGUGGUAAUGCCGAAUGUGCCCUUCGGGGGAAAGAUUUAUCGCCUUUAGAGCGGCCCGCGUCUGAUUAGCUAGUUGGUGGUGUAACGGACCACCAAGGCGACGAUCAGUAGCUGGUCUGAGUGGAUGAUCAGCCACAUUGGGACUGAGACACGGCCCACACUCCUACGGGAGGCAGCAGUGGGGAAUCUUGCGCAAUGGGCGAAAGCCUGACGCAGCCAUGCCGCGUGAAUGAUGAAGGUCUUAGGAUUGUAAAAUUCUUUCACCGGGGACGAUAAUGACGGUACCCGGAGAAGAAGCCCCGGCUAACUUCGUGCCAGCCGCCGCCGUAAGAC